UAAAGUGGCGAACGGCUGAGUAACACGUGGGCAACCUGCCCUUUGCACUGGGAUAGCCUCGGGAAACCUAGGUUAAUACCGGAUACUCCAUAUUUGUCGCAUGGCGAAUAUGGGAAAGCUCCGGCGGCAAAGGAUGGGCCCGCGGCCUGUUAGCUAGUUGGUGGGGUAGUGGCCUACCAAGGCAAUGAUGGGUAGCCGGGUUGAGAGACCGACCGGCCAGAUUGGGACUGAGACACGGCCCAGACUCCUACGGGAGGCAGCAGCA
rnacentral:rRNA from 1 species